GCUGACGAGUGGCGGACGGGUGAGUAAUGUCUGGGAAACUGCCUGAUGGAGGGGGAUAACUACUGGAAACGGUAGCUAAUACCGCAUAACGUCGCAAGACCAAAGAGGGGGACCUUCGGGCCUCUUGCCAUCGGAUGUGCCCAGAUGGGAUUAGCUAGUAGGUGGGGUAACGGCUCACCUAGGCGACGAUCCCUAGCUGGUCUGAGAGGAUGACCAGCCACACUGGAACUGAGACACGGUCCAGACUCCUACGGGAGGCAGCAGUGGGGAAUAUUGCACAAUGGGCGCAAGCCUGAUGCAGCCAUGCCGCGUGUAUGAAGAAGGCCUUCGGGUUGUAAAGUACUUUCAGCGGGGAGGAAGGGAGUAAAGUUAAUACCUUUGCUCAUUGACGUUACCCGCAGAAGAAGCACCGGCUAACUCCGUGCCAGCAGCCGCGGUAAUACGGAGGGUGCAAGCGUUAAUCGGAAUUACUGGGCGUAAAGCGCACGCAGGCGGUUUGUUAAGUCAGAUGUGAAAUCCCCGGGCUCAACCUGGGAACUGCAUCUGAUACUGGCAAGCUUGAGUCUCGUAGAGGGGGGUAGAAUUCCAGGUGUAGCGGUGAAAUGCGUAGAGAUCUGGAGGAAUACCGGUGGCGAAGGCGGCCCCCUGGACGAAGACUGACGCUCA
rnacentral:rRNA from 1 species